CCUACGGGAGGCAGCAGUGAGGAAUAUUGGUCAAUGGCCGGAAGGCUGAACCAGCCAUGCCGCGUGAAGGACAGUGCCCCAUGGGCGUUAAACUUCCUUUGUGCGGGAGCAAUAAUGGUCAAGUGUGGCGAGAAGAGAGUACCGUACGAAUAAGCAUCUGCUAACUCCGUGCCAGCAGCCGCGUUAAUACGGGGGAUGCAAGCGUGAUCCGGAUUUAUUGGGGUUAAAGGGUGCGUAGGCGGUGAGGUAAGUCAGCGGUGAAAUGCUCGGGAUAAACCCGGUCCGGCCGUUGAAACUGAGGAUCUGGAGUGGGCGAGAAGUAUGCGGAAUGCGUGGUGUAGCGGUGAAAUGCAUAGAUAUCACGCAGAACUCCGAUUGCGAAGGCAGCAUACCGGCGCCCGACUGACGCUGAGGCACGAAAGCGUGGGGAUCGAACAGGAUUAGAUACCCGUGUAGUC
rnacentral:rRNA from 1 species